UGGAGAGGUGGCAGAGUCCGGUUGAUCGCGCACGACUCGAAAUCGUGUAGGGGUAACACCUCGUGGGUUCGAAUCCCACCCUCUCCGU
rnacentral:tRNA from 1 species